rnacentral:rRNA from 1 species
UCUGAGAGGAUGAUCAGCCACACCGGGACUGAGACACGGCCCGGACUCCUACGGGAGGCAGCAGUGGGGAAUAUUGGACAAUGGGGGGAACCCUGAUCCAGCCAUGCCGCGUGUGUGAAGAAAGGCCUUUUGGUUGUAAAGCACUUUAAGCAGUGAAGAAAGAAGUUAUGGUUAAUACCCAUAAUGGAUGACAUUAGCUGCAGAAUAAGCACCGGCUAACUCUGUGCCAGCAGCCGCGGUAAUACAGAGGGUGCGAGCGUUAAUCGGAAUUACUGGGCGUAAAGCGAGCGUAGGUGGCUUAAUAAGUCAGAUGUGAAAUCCCCGGGCUUAACCUGGGAACUGCAUCUGAAACUGUUCGGCUAGAGUAGGUGAGAGGGAAGUAGAAUUCCAGGUGUAGCGGUGAAAUGGGUAGAGAUCUGGAGGAAUACCGAUGGCGAAGGCAGCUUCCUGGCAUCAUACUGACACUGAGGUUCGAAAGCGUGGGUAGCAAACAGGAUUAGAUACCCUGGUAGUCCACGCCGUAAACGAUGUCUACUAGUCGUUGGGUCCCUUGAGGACUUAGUGACGCAGCUAACGCAAUAAGUAGACCGCCUGGGGAGUACGGCCGCAAGGUUAAAACUCAAAUGAAUUGACGGGGGCCCGCACAAGCGGUGGAGCAUGUGGUUUAAUU